rnacentral:rRNA from 1 species
AAUCAACGCUGGCGGCGUGCCUAACACAUGCAAGUCGAACGAGAAAGUCCCCGCAAGGGGAUGAGUAAAGUGGCGACCGGGUGAGUAACACGUGACUAACCUACCCUGAAGCGGGGAAUAACCUCGGGAAACCGGGCUAAUACCGCAUACCUUCCAGAGGGGAAGCUCCUCUGGAGGAAACGAGCAAUCGGCUUUAGGAGGGGGUCGCGCCCGAUUAGGUAGUUGGCGGGGUAACGGCCCACCAAGCCUUUGAUCGGUAGCCGGCCUGAGAGGGCGCACGGCCACACUGGAACUGAAACACGGUCCAGACUCCUACGGGAGGCAGCAGUGGGGAAUUUUGCGCAAUGGGGGAAACCCUGACGCAGCAACGCCGCGUGGAGGAUGAAGUCCCUUGGGACGUAAACUCCUUUCGACCGGGACGAUAAUGACGGUACCGGUGGAAGAAGCCCCGGCUAACUUCGUGCCAGCCGCCGCGGUAAC